AGAAGACAGAUGCAGGGUCUGAAGAAAACUAGCAGAAUCUGAGGAAAACUUCAAUAUAUUAAUGGAGACAACUAAUAGAAGGUGGCACUAAUAGGGACCAAUGACUUGGACCAUCUUCUUCUAAGAGGUAACAAUUUCUAGAAUGGAAGACUGUGUCACAGACAGAGGAACCAUGGAAGAGGACAUUUGUAUGCAGGAAUAGCCUCAAGUGAAUCCCCACUGACUCCUAAACCAGGAUGAACUCUUGAUGAUGAUGAUCCAUGUGUAGGCAAGUGCAAUUUCAUGUCUAAGUGGAUAUGAAGAUGUCUCAGAAGAUAUUUAAUUUCUAAUAGGUAAUUAGUCAAAUAAACUAAUCCAUGUUAACA
rnacentral:lncRNA from 1 species